UUACUCUGGUUUCCCUUCAAAACGUAUAAAUCUUUCGCCUUUUACUAAAGAUUUCCGUGGAGGGGAACACCCAAAUGAGUCUAUAAAUAUUUUUGGUGCUCUGCGCUCGCAGGGC